GGGAUGUAUCGCUUCCUCUUACGCCUCUGGCUACAGUGGUGCAGUCAAUGCUGGAAGUUCAACGUUUUCGAACCAGACACAAUGUCAAUCGCGUAACUUUAUUCAAUAUUGAUAAUGUAAUGUUUGGAAGUAACAAAAGACGAGUGUUACGUUGUAGUUAAAUCGCCUCGAUAUUUAGAGAGGGGUGCGUGCGCGAGACAUGAGUGCCCAUGUAGCGCAGCUAGGAUGAGUUGUCAUCAGACUUCUACAUGGGCGGACGACUAUUCUGUACAACAGGAAAACGAACUAGAAGCGCUUGCAUCAAUUUUUGGAGAAGAUUUUAAUGAUCUGAGUAAUAACCAUCCAUGGAAGAUCAAAAGACCACUAGAGGUAUACCUGUGCCUGCGACCUAAUGGACUAAGCAAUGGGAAGGAAAGUUAUGUGACAGUGGACCUGCAGGUCCAAUGCCCACCUACGUACCCUGAUGUGCCGCAGCAAGUAUACUGGAUAUUGAGGAGAGUGGCUCUGUUCUGAUUCUCAAACCGGACCCAACAGGGAAUAUAACUGGUAUGGUUGGUACUGCCCUAUAUGUCAGUCCAGAGGUGCAAGGAAAUACCAAAGCCACUUACAACCAGG